UCUCUCAAUUCUACGUAUAUAUCUGAGAGGCUAUAGCUUAGCUCUGCUACAUGGACAAGACCCAAGGAGGGAAGGAGAAAUCAGAAUUUUUAUAUUAUUUCGAUUCUGGAAUGGAAAUGGUUAAACUAACUCAUAGAUGUCUUUCUCCCGUGGCUUUCAUUGGUUGACACAAGGAAUCUUAUUCUCAUCACCCCAUGAGAGGUUG
rnacentral:misc_RNA from 1 species